rnacentral:rRNA from 1 species
AGUCACUGACAUUAGAUACCCGCGUAGUCCAGGGUGUAAACGCUGCAGACUUGGUGUUGGGAACCCUUCGGGGGUGUCCAGUGCCGGAGAGAAGUUGUUAAGUCUGCUACUUGGGGAGUACGUCCGCAAGGAUGAAACUUAAAGGAAUUGGCGGGGGAGCACCGCAACGGGAGGAGCGUGCGGUUUAAUUGGAUUCAACACCGUAAAACUCACCAGGGAAGACUGUUACAUGAAAGCCGAGAUGAAGACUCUGCUAGAUUUUCAG